AUUGAACGCUGGCGGCAGGCCUAACACAUGCAAGUCGAGCGAGCGGCGGACGGGUGAGUAAUGUCUGGGCACCUGCCUGAUGGAGGGGGAUAACUUCUGGAACCGGUAGCUAAUACCGCAUAACAUCAGAAAUGCCCACAUGGGGUUAGAUGGUGGGUGGGGUAACGGCUCACCUAGGCGACGAUCCGUAGCUGGUCUGAGAGGAAGACCAGCCACACUGGAACUGAGACACGGUCCAGACUCCUACGGGAGGCAGCAUGGGGGAAUAUCGCACAAUGGGCGCAGGCCUGAUACAGCCAUGCCGCGUGGAUGAAGAAGGCCUUCGGUUGGUAAAGUACGUUCAGCGGGGAGGCGUUACCCGCAGAAGAAGCACCGGCUAACUCCGUGCCAGCAGCCGCGGUAAUAC
rnacentral:rRNA from 1 species